UACGGGGGGUGCGAGCGUUAUUCGGAAUUACUGGGCGUAAAGAGCGCGUAGGCGGUCUUUUAAGUCAGGUGUGAAAGCCCGGGGCUCAACCCCGGAAGUGCACUUGAAACUAAGAGACUUGAGUAUGGGAGAGGGAAGUGGAAUUCCUGGUGUAGCGGUGAAAUGCGUAGAUAUCAGGAGGAACAUCAGUGGCGAAGGCGACUUCCUGGACCAAUACUGACGCUGAGGCGCGAAGGCGUGGGGAGCAAACAGG
rnacentral:rRNA from 1 species